UCCAUACACAUAUUUCUUAUAGAACAUAAACACUGCCCAGUGAAAUCCUUUACACAAGGCGUAGCAAAACACAGCUGGCUCUGCUCGCUCUUGUGAACAGUUUUGCUGAGCCUCAAUCGGGUUAGCACAAAGGAUUUCAAGGCCACUUUUUGUUGUGUGCAGUUCUCCAGUCUGAAGGAUGGUUCAGAAUUACAAGCAGACCUCUGGAGCCUGUUCCCCAACAAACACUGAGGAACUACUCACACCAGCACAUAAGGAAAAUGUGCGAUUUAUUCAUUACACUUGGCAGUGUGUCAUGAGAGAAAUGCAAACCUGCCAGGGAAAUGAAAACAGUAACCAGGGACCUCAGAAGUAUGUGGAGAGGACACCAAACCCUGCACUGACCUCUUUUACAGCAGUGGACUUGAAUGAUGUCAAGAGGAAAAACACACAAGACUCCAAAAAGUCUUUAUGAAACCAGUGGAUCAGAGCUUUGCUAUCCAACAUAUAGACUUAUACAGCAUUAACCUCUUGCCUGGUGCACUUGUUAUUAACGGGUAAAGUCCUUUUACUUGCCACUGAUCCUUAUCUAUAUUCAAGUGAUCAGCAUUGUUCACUGAUGCCAACUUUGCUUCAGUUAAGGACAAAUGAUGUUCCAAAUUUAGAAAGGUUUUUUUUUUUUAUUUUUAUUAUUAUUAUUAAUUCCAUACUUUUCUCUUACGGCAUACUUAACUCAGCAUAUGCAUGUCGAAAUGCAUGUGAUGGGACAUUUUUUUUUUUAAACCAGCCCAUCAAAAUGAUUAAUGUAACAGCCAAAAAAAAAUAA